rnacentral:rRNA from 1 species
AUGAUUAAGAAUGCCCAGAAAAACAAGCUUAUUGUGGGGAUGGCUCCUGACUUGAUCCCCAACGGGGUCGCGGUUUUGCAGUAUGCAGAUGACACGAUCAUUUGGUUGGAGCAUGAUCUGGAGAAAGCUCUGAAUCUAAAACUUCUUUUGUAUACUUUUGAAAUGAUGUCUGGGCUGAAAGUUAAUUUCCACAAGAGUGAAAUCUUAACUGUGGGGGGUGAUGAUCAAAUUAAUAAAGCUUAUGCAGAUCUCUUCAAUUGUGACAUUGGUCAUUUUCCUCUUAAAUAUCUGGGGAUGCCGGUGAGCUUUACUACUCUUUGA